rnacentral:rRNA from 1 species
AUUGAACGCUGGCGGCAGGCCUAACACAUGCAAGUCGAACGAGUGGGAGACGGGUGUGAAAUGUCGGGGAAAGUGCCAGAUGGAGGGGGAAAACUACGGGAAACGGUAGCUAACACCGCAAAACAGCAGAUGCGCCCAGGUGGGAAUUGCUAGUAGGGGGGGUAAUGGCUCACCUAGGCGACGAUCCAUAGCUGGUCUGAGAGGAGGACCAGCCACACUUGAACUGAGACACGGUCCAGACUCCUACGGUAGGCAGCAGUGGGGAAUAUUGCACAAUGGGCGCAAGCCUGAUGCAGCCAUGCCGCGUGUAUGAAGAAGGCCUUCGGGUUGUAAAGUACUUUCAGCGGGGAGGCGUUACCCGCAGAAGAAGCACCGGCUAACUCCGUGCCAGCAGCCGCGGUAAUUC